rnacentral:lncRNA from 10 species
GUCUGUCCUCCUGUCAGUUAUAGGUCCAGGAAGUGUCUUUUCCUGCUCCAAAGUCAAAGACAGGCAUGUUGCUUAUCACAUUCUUCUAAGCAUUACAAAAGAGUGCCCAUCUUUCUCUUUUUUCCUACCUAGGCACAGCUGGAGUGCCCUCUGCUACAACAGCUGCCCCUGGGAGCUCCAACUCAGAGACCACAACCUCUGUAGGAGAAAGUGGAAUAACAAGUGCUGAAAUAGUCACAGGUACUACUGAGGGCAUCUCUGGCAAAACUCUGGAAACUGGAAGUGCCCAAACAGAGGUCACAACUUUCUCAGGAGGCAACCGGACCACCCGAGCAGGCCCACCAGAGGCCACAACUUCCAUUGAAGAGACUGGUACUUCUGGAACUGGAUUCAAAACCGCAGGCAUCACUGCAGCACCAGGAAAGCAAGCAGGCACCUCUGGGGUGGCACCUGGCACAACAGUUGCUCCUGGAAGUUUCAGCACAGGUAAGUACACAAUUUGGCACAGAGCCAUUUCUUGGAUGCUUUCUACAAUAAUGUGUCUUUCCUUUUGCUGCCUCUGUGCAAAAGCGGACCAUUCCCUUUCUAAAUCCCAGAAUGUUUUCCAUACUUUUUUCACUCUCUCAGCAGCUACAACUUCUCCAGGAGCAAGCAGAGUGACUGGCACUGGACCCACUGCAGGUGAGCCCUGAUGAAGCACGACCUGCUUCUCAGUAGACAACGUUGCCUGAAU